rnacentral:rRNA from 1 species
UACGUAGGGCGCAAGCGUUGUCCGGAAUUAUUGGGCGUAAAGAGCUCGUAGGCGGUCCGUUACGUCGGGAGUGAAAACCCGGGGCUCAACCCCGGGCUUGCUUUCGAUACGGGCAGACUAGAGUAUGGCAGGGGAGACUGGAAUUCCUGGUGUAGCGGUGAAAUGCGCAGAUAUCGGGAAGAACACCCGUGGCGAAGGCGGUUCUCUGGGACGGUACUGACGCUGAGACGCGAAAGCGUGGGGAGCGAACAGG